UACGUAGGUGGCAAGCGUUGUCCGGAUUUACUGGGCGUAAGGAGCGCGCAGGCGGUCGGAUAAGUCGAAUGUGAAAGCCCCCGGCUCAACUGGGGAGGGUCAUUCGAUACUGUUCGACUCGAAGGCAGGAGAGGGAAGUGGAAUUCCCGGUGUAGUGGUGAAAUGCGUAGAUAGUCGGGAGGAACACCAGUGGCGAAGGCGACUUCCUGGCCUGUUCUUGACGCUGAGGCGCGAAAGCUAGGGGAGCAAACGGG
rnacentral:rRNA from 1 species